ensembl:lncRNA
UGCUGCCCCGGUGCUGGAGAGGAAGUGAAAGUCACUUGAAACCUAACAGCCGCCAAAACCAAACACAGCAGAUAAAGCCAACCAGCAUCAUUUGGUUCCCUGGAUCUGAAUUAAUUCGACCCCAAAAGUGAAAAAUAUGUGAGAAAAGACUGCUCAUGAACAGUCCGUAAACUGGAUAUUUUGAAACGUGCAGGGGUGAAACCGAAAUGGCCUCUGUUCUCAUGGACUGGGAGAUACUGGUGGAGAUGGUGUGAUUUCGAAGGAAUCUGAGGCUGUACAAGAUGUGGUUGUUCCAACCCCAACACUUAAAGAGAGUGCUAGAGGUGUCACUACAGACCCUGGUUCGAUCCCGGGCUGUAUCACAUCCGUGAUCGGGAGUCCCAUAGGGCGGCGCACAAUUGGCUCAGCGUCGUCAGGGUUAGUGUAGAGAGCGACUGAUGAAUAUCCAGCGUGACCAGUCAAGUAAACAACGGCUCAUCAGCAUGGCAUAUUGGUGGACUAUGGUCCAUCAAGUCAUAUCAGGAUGGUUACAUUAGCGCGUUACACUGGUUACAGCACAACACCACAUCCUAUGUACGUAAAGGAUACUGUUGUGACACUGACUUACUGUCACGUCCACUCCCUCGUCCACUGGCGCUCAACAUCAACGGUCUACUAACCACCGGGACCACCGGUCCUGGUAACCCGGCUUUACUUAUGCCUGGCAACCAUCAUUACGCACACCUGCAUCUUAUCAUUAGUCACACCUGGACUUCAUUACUCCCUUGAUGACCCUUUAUAUAGCACUCUUCUGUUAUCAGUCAGUUGGUUAUGUUUCCUUGUCAGACGCUUCUCUUGUUUUGUAUCGCUGCGUGUUCGUUAUUAUUAAACUCACUAACUGCUUCCUGCUUCCUGACUGCCUGCGUCUACGUUACAGAAUGCUCAAAUAGAAGCAGCAGUUAAUCAAGACUUCUCACAGAUGGUCGGUCGAACAGGGACACCUCUUUUCGUCAAAUACCAUGACCAACUGGCUCAUUUGGGAACGGCUAUAGAUGAGGUCCUCCGCGUUCUUCAAUGAGUCGACAUUACUCAAGGGGCAUCAUCUCCCUAAACAGAGGAGGGUUCUCUACCACAGGUCGACCCAGCGAGCCAGUACCCCAGCCCAUCCAGCAGUCCAUCCUGGUCAGAGAUGCCCGUUUUUCCCUCCCAAACAAAUAUGACGGGACUCCAUCCAAGUGCCGUGGCUCCCUCCUCCCUCUAUUUUGCUCAUCAAAUAGGAGCCCCCCCACCACGAGAGAUCCAAGGUUGCCAUGGUUAUUUCUCUUCUGACCGGACGGGCGUUGGAGUGGGCCACGGCCAUCUGGGAGAGAGGAGGAGCUGGGUUCCUAUGAUGGAUGCAUGGCUUUGUUCAAGGAGGUCUUUGACCAUCCACCAGAGAGUAGAGCUCCUACUCCAACUACGGCAGGAUGGCCAGACCGUGGAGGUGGACACGCUCACCUUUCGGGACAGUGGCAGCAUCCAGCGGAUGGAAUGAGCCGGCGCUCCGCAUCCUAUUCAGAAGAAGAUUGCGCGCAGAGGUCCAGACGGAGUUGGCGUGCCGAGAUGACAACUUAUACGUCUGGAUAACCUGCUUCGGGAGCGUCGGUAACCCCCCACCGCCUCUCUCCCUCUGUUGAUCAUUCUGAGUCAGAGCCUGAACCCAUGGAGAUGGGGGGCCACACGCCUCGCUGCGGCUGAGCAAUGCCAUCGUAGACAGCUGGGGCUCCAUCCUUAUUGCGGCCAGGAAGUGCACCAGCUUAAACGGUGUCCGGUACGUUCUAACUGGGGAUUCACGAGAGCAGAGGGACAUGACCACCCGUCUUCUGGAUUAGGACUCCAGUGGACUCCGGCACCACAGGGAAUUUUAUUGACCAGGCCCUCACCUCCUCCUUUAACCUCACCUCAUACCGCUCUCCUCUCCUUAUCCGGUUCAAGCUCUGGAUAGUCAACCACUAGGAUCCGAGACAAUCCCAUACAUCACAGCACCACUCACCCUCACCGUGGAAUCCAUAUAUCAAGAAAGCCUUCCCUUCCUCAUCAGUGCACCCAUACACAAGAUAAUCCUCAGCCUCCCACGG